rnacentral:rRNA from 1 species
AACACGUGGGCAAUCUGCCCUUCACUCUGGGACAAGCCCUGGAAACGGGGUCUAAUACCGGAUACGACACACGACCGCAUGGUCUGUGUGUGGAAAGCUCCGGCGGUGAAGGAUGAGCCCGCGGCCUAUCAGCUUGUUGGUGGGGUGAUGGCCUACCAAGGCGACGACGGGUAGCCGGCCUGAGAGGGCGACCGGCCACACUGGGACUGAGACACGGCCCAGACUCCUACGGGAGGCAGCAGUGGGGAAUAUUGCACAAUGGGCGAAAGCCUGAUGCAGCGACGCCGCGUGAGGGAUGACGGCCUUCGGGUUGUAAACCUCUUUCAGCAGGGAAGAAGCGAGAGUGACGGUACCUGCAGAAGAAGCGCCGGCUAACUACGUGCCAGCAGCCGCGGUAAUACGUAGGGCGCAAGCGUUGUCCGGAAUUAUUGGGCGUAAAGAGCUCGUAGGCGGCUUGUCACGUCGGAUGUGAAAGCCCGGGGCUUAACCCCGGGUCUGCAUUCGAUACGGGCAGGCUAGAGUUCGGUAGGGGAGAUCGGAAUUCCUGGUGUAGCGGUGAAAUGCGCAGAUAUCAGGAGGAACACCGGUGGCGAAGGCGGAUCUCUGGGCCGAUACUGACGCUGAGGAGCGAAAGCGUGGGGAGCGAACAGGAUUAGAUACCCUGGUAGUCCACGCCGUAAACGUUGGGAACUAGGUG